GGAGAGGCACUGUGGCUCAGUAGCAGAGCAUCUGCAUGCUUGGCAUGCAGAAGGUUGUAGGUUCAAUCCUUGGCACCUCCA
rnacentral:tRNA from 1 species